rnacentral:rRNA from 1 species
GACGAACGCUGGCGGCGUGCUUAACACAUGCAAGUCGAACGAAGUGGCGAACGGGUGAGUAACGCGUAAUCAACCUGCCCUUCAGAGGGGGACAACAGUUGGAAACGACUGCUAAUACCGCAUACAGAAGGAGGGGAUUGUGUCUGAUUAGCUAGUUGGAGGGGUAACGGCCCACCAAGGCGAGGAUGCGUAGCCGGUGUGAUAGGGUGAACGGCCAACAUGGGACCGGUACACGGGCCCGACUCCUACGGGAGGCAGCCGUGGGGAAUCUUCCGCAAUGGACGAAAGUCUGGCGGAGCAACUCCGCGGGAGUGAUGACGGCCUUCGGGUUGUAAAGCUCUGUUAAUCGGGACGCGGUACCGGAAUAGAAAGCCACGGCUAACUACGUGCCAGCAGCCGCGGUAAUAC